GGUCCCAUAGGAGGUAUUUGGGGUUUGGCCUGCCCAAUGAUGGAUUUAAUGGCCGCGGUAUUUUGACCGUGCAAAGGUAGCAUAAUAAUUAGUCUUUUAAUUGAGGUCUGGAAUGAACGGUUGGACGAGGGGUAGGCUGUCUACGUCGUAUACCACUGAAUUUUACUUUUAAGUGAAAAGGCUUAAAUUGUCUUGGGGGACGAUAAGACCCUAUAGAUCUUUACAUUUUGUGCUUCUGUCACGGGAUAGCAGGGUGUUUUGUUGGGGUGACAGGGAGAUAUGUUUAACUCUCCUGUGAAUUUAAAUACUUAUUAGUAGGGCUGGAUCCACUAAGUGUAGUGAGAGGCGGAUUAAGUUACCUUAGGGAUAACAGCGUAAUUUUUUUUAAGAGUUCUUAUCGACAGAAAAGUUUGCGACCUCGAUGUUGGAUUAGGGUUGUUUUGGUGGUGCAGUAGCUACCAGGAAGGGUCUGUUCGACCUUUAUACCCCUACA
rnacentral:rRNA from 1 species